rnacentral:rRNA from 1 species
CACGUAGGGUGCGAGCGUUGUCCGGAAUUAUUGGGCGUAAAGAGCUCGUAGGCGGUGUGUCGCGUCGGCCGUGAAAACCUGCAGCUUAACUGUGGGCGUGCGGUCGAUACGGGCAUCACUGGAGUUCGGCAGGGGAGACUGGAAUUCCUGGUGUAGCGGUGAAAUGCGCAGAUAUCAGGAGGAACACCGAGUGGCGAAGGCAGGUCUCUGGGCAUUAACUGACGCUGAGGAGCGAAAGCAUGGGGAGCGAACAGG